rnacentral:lncRNA from 1 species
UUUCUACUGUCGUCAGUUGCUGAUGAAAUGGUUGACAAAAGAUCGGCACAUGUCUUCAAAGGAAUGAAUGGAUGUCAGCCUCAAACUCGAGUACCAUUAUCGAGCGGCUCCCUUAAGGGUUAGAGGGAAUGCUCGACAGAGGAUUGCAUCUGAUGCUUUCUGAAGAAGCAUCGUUGUCUUGAAGGUCUCCACAUGAUCGACGGGGUCGGUAGUCCCAUCGUAGACCUCCAACUGAGACAGUUUGAAGUACAGGGGAACGGUUCCUUCACAAUCCUUAGGAUGAAGAGUGACUGACUGUUAUACCUUUCAUAGGGCAGCACCGAGGAGCCAUUAUUGUUUAGAGCUUUUUCUAUUUUCUGGCCCAACUGUUGGUCGAGCUGCUAGAAUCGCUUUUCAAAAUCAACUUUACGGAUGGUACCAGCCUCGAAGAUCAGAGGAGAUCGACGUCCGGAUGUUGAGUCAUGGCCCCAUUGUGGGCUUGAAGAUUGCCACCUGACUGGCUGCUGGGCUCUAGGGUGAUUUUGAUGAGUCAACAUCCUCUCCAAACUUCGAGGAGGUGAUUGCGGCUCUAGUUGAGGUGGCGAUUGUGGAGCCACAGUCGAAGCAGGGUUUUGCAGAGGCACCGUUGCGGAUGGCACAAGCAGUACUAUCGAGAGAAUCGUAUGACGUACCGUUGUGGGGGGUGCAGGGACAGUCUGGAGAGACUGUGGUGUCACUUGAAAGGGUGCGAGAAAGGUCUAGACUGCCUGGAUUGCGGUCAUCAAAUGUUAAACUUGUUAGGAGAGCUAACCGAAUUGGUCAGUCAUGACUGGCCUCGGGAGGACCGGUUGAAACAAUGGAGGAAUUUUCGAUGCCAUCGAUUGAACUUGAUUAUCGGCCUGACAGACCAUCUGUUGAGAAGUGACGGCA